GAAACACACACCCAGAGGAAAGAUGACGUGAAGACAGGAGAUGGUCAUCUACAUGCCAAGGAGAAAGGCCUCAGAGUAAACAACCCUGCCCACAUCGUGAUCUCCCAACUUGUCUCUAGAACUGUCCUGAGACUGUGCUCCCAUGGAGUAGACAGUGUCCGAUGUCCUUUGUAUCCAAACCUGGAAGAAGCUCAAUAAAUUACUUACUAGUUUUAGUUGUUCAAACAACAAAAAAACAUGUCUUCAGAAAUACCCACCGUAGAGAUUAAGAAUGUGUUGCUAAAUGGAUUUGGAAAUUUCCAAGUUCAACCAAGGUAUGAAUUACAACUAUUCAAUUUGCCAUUAACCAAAAGGUCUGCAAGCCUUCUACUCAAGAGCUCCAAACGAGUAUCUAACAGGACUCAAGAAUUCUAAUGAAUUCAGGUACAAUUCAAGAAUGGUGGCUGCAGCAAAAAUAGCCAUGAAGUCUUCCCUCCCCUGAGAGCAAGGGAGACAAAGGGAGCAGCGAGCAGGCAGAGAAGCAGCACAGCCGGCCCUGAGAGUUAAUCAUGUUGCGAUGUAAAUAGAAGUGAGUUUUCUUUCUCCUUCUCCUGAGAGCAAGGGGAAAAAAGGGAGCAUUGAGCAGGCGAAAGAAGCAGCACAGCCAGCCUUGAGAGUUAAUCACUCCUUGUUUAACUGUCACUAAUUUGCAGUAACUGGAUUUGUACUUUACAAAGCGAACCUCACUCCCUGACACUACGUAAUUUACCUUCGGCACCCAUCACCCCUGACUGUGUGUUACAUACCCCACCUCUCACUCCGGGCACUUACAUUCUACAGGCCCCUCGUAACAAAUCACCCCCUAUAGUUUUUGAAUUUCAGAGACAAGGUCACAGGCCGAUAAACGAGAGGCAAAUGGACGCAGUUUCCAGACUGCCAGCCCCAAUUACCAGGCAGCCUGACGCCAGCUAUGACUGUUUUGAAAUAAUGCAAAGGAAAGGAAGCAUGCAAGACCUUCACUACUUUGAUCCUUACCAUAUACCCCGGGCUGUGAGCCCCACAUCUAAAAUCUCCCGAUUCCCAAGGAGGGGGGGCACAGUUGAGGUGCUAGCCUGCUGUCUUCCCUUCUGCCUAGCAGAAAAAUAAAGCCAUCUCUCUCUUCCUCCAAAA